GACGAACCGUGCGAACGUUGUUCGGAAUCACUGGGCUUAAAGGGCGCGUAGGCGGGCCCUCAAGUCCGGGGUGAAAUCCUCCCGCUUAACGGGAGAAGAGCCUCGGAGACUGAGGGCCUCGAGGGAGGUAGGGGCGUGCGGAACUAUGGGUGGAGCGGUGAAAUGCAUUGAUAUCCAUAGGAACUCCGGUGGCGAAGGCGGCACGCUGGACCUCUUCUGACGCUGAGGAGCGAAAGCGUGGGGAGCGAACAGG
rnacentral:rRNA from 1 species